UGCAUCUGAAAGUUGCAGAAUAGUAGCUCUUGAGGACUUGACUUGGAGACCCCUGUCCUGGGGUCUUUCCCCAGGGUGAAGGCACCUGGAAAACCUCCAAAGCACGGCCUCUUGAUCAGAUUAGCCACUCAAGGUUUAUUUAUGGAGCGCUUUCAAAAACAACAUGAUGACCGAAGUGACAGGUUGGGGUUAGGGUCUUUUCAAUGUGGAGGAUCAACAAGUCUACCCUACAGAGGAAGCUCUUCUCAGCUGCUGGCAUCCAGAAUCUCAUCAUCAUUCAUAUUUCAGGACCAUCUCAGGGGCUUUGGAGGAGUCCUUCCUCCUGGUUCUGAGCUGGAUGUUCUGAAUCCACAUCUAAAACCUUGCUUUUAAUAUUAAACGAGAAGCGAGCUUAAGUGCAACUCAAGUCCGAGUCAGAAGCUGGUAUCACCAUCUCUGCAGACCAGCUUCCUCAUCCUGCUGAAAAAGAGACAAACACAAUACAUCCAUCCAUCCAUCCAUCCAUCCAUCCAUCCAUCCAUCCCUAUCACUUCAAACACACCUGCUGCAGUCCACUCACCUUGGUCCGAGUGAGGCGACAAC